UACAGAGGGGGCUAGCGUUAUUCGGAAUUAUUGGGCGUAAAGGGCGCGUAGGCGGCCAUGCGUGUCUUCCGUGAAAUCCCUCGGCUUAACUGAGGACGUGCGGAAGAAACUGCAAGGCUCGAGUCCGGGAGAGGGGGGUGGAAUUCCCAGUGUAGCGGUGAAAUGCGUAGAUAUUGGGAGGAACACCGGUGGCGAAGGCGGCCCCCUGGACCGGUACUGACGCCUGAGG
rnacentral:rRNA from 1 species